rnacentral:lncRNA from 1 species
AAUAAUGAAAUAAUUAUAAAAAUAUAUAUAUCUAUUUAAAUUUAAAUAUAAUUAUUUAUUAUUUCAUUCAUAUUUCAUUCAAGUUCAAGAAGUUUGACCCUUCCCGUGAAUUUGUUUUUUGUUUUCUUCUUUAUUUGCAUUUUUUUUUAACUUAUAUUGAAUUUGAAUGUGUCUCACAACACGAAAAAAUUCGCGGGAGGGGUCAUUUAUUUUUGGAUCUGGAACAAAUGGAUUCAAGAGAUAAGAGAAUUAAGGAUACCCACCAAAAAGACUAAUCCAAUCCAUAAUGAUGUAC